AGGACCCCGCGUCCAGGACAGGAAAGUGCGUGAUUUACAGCUAGAGGGACAGGCGCUGUCCCGGAGCCCGUCCUGGGCCAGGGAGCAGGAGGAUUUAGCACCCCUGACCUUGCUUACACACUCUGGAUACCACCUGCUGUGGAGUGGCGGAAGCAGACAUCCAGCGAUAGUUAGGUUUCCUGUCGUUGACACCCAAGCAAGAAAGGCGUGUACCUAACUGAGGACCUGCCCGUGAUAGAAGUCUCAGCUUUUCUCAGAGACAGAGGCAAGAUGGUGCACUUCCGGGUUCUUCUUCACCACCAACUCUUCCCGCAUGCGC